AUACGAAAUGUUUUACUUA
rnacentral:sRNA from 1 species